AUUGAACGCUGGCGGCAGGCCUAACACAUGCAAGUCGAGCGGCAGCGGGAAAGUAGCUUGCUACUUUUGCCGGCGAGCGGCGGACGGGUGAGUAAUGCCUGGGAAAUUGCCCAGUCGAGGGGGAUAAAAGUUGGAAACGACUGCUAAUACCGCAUACGCCCUACGGGGGAAAGCAGGGGACCUUCGGGCCUUGCGCGAUUGGAUAUGCCCAGGUGGGAUUAGCUAGUUGGUGAGGUAAUGGCUCACCAAGGCGACGAUCCCUAGCUGGUCUGAGAGGACGAUCAGCCGCACUGGAACUGAGACACGCUCCAGACUCCUACGGGAGGCAGCAGUGGGGAAUAUUGCACAAUGGGGGAAACCCUGAUGCAGCCAUGCCGCGUGUGUGAAGAAGGCCUUCGGGUUGUAAAGCACUUUCAGCGAGGAGGAAAGGUUGAUGCCUAAUACGUAUCAACUGUGACGUUACUCGCAGAAGAAGCACCGGCUAACUCCGUGCCAGCCGCCGCCGUAA
rnacentral:rRNA from 1 species